rnacentral:rRNA from 1 species
UUGGUCGAUUAGCCAUGCUAGUUGCACGAGUUUAGACUCGUAGGCAUAUAGCUCAGUAACACGUGGCCAAACUACCCUACAGACCGCGAUAACCUCGGGAAACUGAGGCCAAUAGCGGAUAUAACUCUCAGANUGGAGUGUCGAGAGUUAGAAACGUUCCGGCGCUGUAGGAUGUGGCUGCGGCCGAUUAGGUAGAUGGUGGGGUAACGGCCCACCAUGCCGAUAAUCGGUACAGGUUGUGAGAGCAAGAGCCUGGAGACGGUAUCUGAGACAAGAUACCGGGCCCUACGGGGCGCAGCAGGCGCGAAACCUUUACACUGCACGACAGUGCGAUAGGGGGACUCCGAGUGUGAGGGCAUAUAGCCCUCGCUUUUCUGUACCGUAAGGUGGUACAGGAACAAGGACUGGGCAAGACCGGUGCCAGCCGCCGCGGUAAUACCGGCAGUCCAAGUGAUGGCCGAUAUUAUUGGGCCUAAAGCGUCCGUAGCUUGCUGUGUAAGUCCAUUGGGAAAUCGACCAGCUCAACUGGUCGGCGUCCGGUGGAAACUACACAGCUUGGGGCCGANAGACUCAACGGGUACGUCCGGGGUAGGAGUGAAAUCCUGUAAUCCUGGACGGACCACCAAUGGGGAAACCACGUUGAGAGACCGGACCCGACAGUGAGGGACGAAAGCCAGGGUCUCGAACCGGAUUAGAUACCCGGGUAGUCCUGGCUGUAAACAAUGCUCGCUAGGUAUGUCACGCGCCAUGAGCACGUGAUGUGCCGUAGUGAAGACGAUAAGCGAGCCGCCUGGGAAGUACGUCCGCAAGGAUGAAACUUAAAGGAAUUGGCGGGGGAGCACCACAACCGGAGGAGCCUGCGGUUUAUUGAUCCCCC